rnacentral:rRNA from 1 species
UGGAGAGUUUGAUCCUGGCUCAGGACGAACGCUGGCGGCGUGCCUAAUACAUGCAAGUCGAGCGAACUUCUUUAGAGCUUGCUUUAAAGAAGUUAGCGGCGGACGGGUGAGUAACACGUGGGCAACCUGCCUGUAAGACUGGGAUAACUUCGGGAAACCGGAGCUAAUACCGGAUAAUAUAUAGUACCUCCUGGUACUAUAUUGAAAGUUGGUUUCGGCUAACACUUACAGAUGGGCCCGCGGCGCAUUAGCUAGUUGGUGAGGUAACGGCUCACCAAGGCAACGAUGCGUAGCCGACCUGAGAGGGUGAUCGGCCACACUGGGACUGAGACACGGCCCAGACUCCUACGGGAGGCAGCAGUAGGGAAUCUUCCACAAUGGACGAAAGUCUGAUGGAGCAACGCCGCGUGAGCGAUGAAGGCCUUCGGGUCGUAAAGCUCUGUUGUUAGGGAAGAACAAGUGCGAGAGUAACUGCUCGCACCUUGACGGUACCUAACCAGAAAGCCACGGCUAACUACGUGCCAGCAGCCGCGGUA